GCUGCGGAGGUCCACGGUGCGAACGGCUGAUCCCGUGACCACCUGCGGGGACCCAUAGUACAGCCGCACCGGACCCACGUGAAAAACUCGACUAGAAAGUGGAAUCCUACAGCAAGUGUUCCAGUAAAAGCUGGAAGGAUCACAUGUCACAGGCUGUUUUGAUGAAAUUGCACUGAAAGUCUCAUGAGUACAGGUGUGUUUGUUUGUACAGGCUGAGAGAGAGAUAAAGAGAGUGAAAGCGAGCCUGUCAUUUGAUCUGGUGUGGUACCGUGUGUGAUAAGGAAGCCCGGCGUUGCCGUUGGACACAAGUUUUCCAUUUCCUCCCAGAUCCUUCAGGCUCAUCUGCAUAAUACUGAUACAGCGACGUGAUGCGACCAUCACAAACACAGCUGCUGCAUCCUGCUUCUGAGUGCAGGAACUCGGGAUAACAAAACUGCAGCGACAGACAAUAGAAGCGACAUUCAAGAAGAAUUGCCUGUCAACCUGCAUUUGCUCUCAGCUGAGGAGGCACAGCUGCUGUGUGUGUGUGUGUUUGUGUGUGUGUGUGUGCACACAUGUCUAUAUAUGCACUGUCCUAUAUGUCUUAGAAAUAUGCCAUUCCGCUCUCAGCUGGACCGUUUUUCUGACAUUAAAUUGGAUUAGCUGUGAAUGGAGGGAGAGACAGAGAAAUAUUGACUCCUUCUCGGAAAGGAGAGAGAGGGCAACGCCUUUCCAAUAACCAUAAACCCUGGGGCUGAAAAUAGACCAUACAAAUGUGUAUAUCACAAAUGAGCUGCUGUUGUUUGCGGACGGUGGGUGGUGUUCUUCCACUUUCUCUUUCAAGGGUGCAGUCUGUCUCUCUUAAGUCAACACACUCUUAGUAAUGACCUCAAUCAAAAGAGAAUACGGUAAAUGAGGUGUUACUCUCAAUGCUUGGCACCAGAGCAAUGUUUGCAACACACACCUCCAAUAAAGUUCGCUCUUAUCUUUGGAAUUGCCAUGUAGCCUGAUGUUCGUUGUGAUCCGUGGAUGGUGUUAUAGAUUUCCUAAUUAGUCAGAAGAUGUUGUUUAAUGAUGCAUGUGGUCAGAGGUCAGGCCUUCUUGUUAAACUCAACCAUAUACAUGCACAAGCACAAUUAUAUGAUAAUAUAAUAUACACUAUUACUCAAAAGUUUGAGGUCAGUGC